AAGUUUUUCUCUACACAGGUUUUGAUAAAUCUCCCCCAUAGUAACUGACCACACUGACUGUGUCUCCUGUGUGACAAAGCUGACAGAAGACAGAUGUAAUUCAGCUUCAGUUGUAUCUUAGAAUGCAAUACUCUUCAUUGUAAAGGAGGGGACAGUAGAACUUUGUCAUUUACUGCGAGCAAGUAACUGAGGGCAAGUGCAUAGAUUAGACUUUACCCCCACUUUCUGCAAAACCCAGAGACAUCAUAGGAAGUGUAGCCAGCACUGGGAAACCAUAUCAGAGAGUAAUAGGAAUUACCACUGCUGACAAUUUAUGGAUGCCACAACAGCUAAAACAGAAACAUGUUUGGGAAAUUGUUCACAUUUAAUAAGAUUGACAACAACUCUCCAAGAAUAUCAUCCAAAGGAAAAAUGACCCAUUGAUCCAUUGUUCAAUCAGAGAUACUGUAGCUGUACCAUAUGCCAGAACAUCUGCAACAUGGAUGAGAAAGCACCAAACAUUUUGACCUGUGUUUUCUCUUCCAAGCCAGUACUGAUGCACGUGAUUUUCCAUUUGUGCUAUUUUAUUGGACUAUAAAAUGUAUUCUGUGCUCUUUCAUCUAUUCUUGGAUGUUAUUCAUUCAGGUUUCCCAUUUUGCCUUUACUUUUCAAAUUAUUACAAUUUGUCUGCAUUACUUUGAAAUUAAAUUGUAGUCUUUUUUGCCUAU